GAUGAACGCUAGCGGCAGGCUUAACACAUGCAAGUCGAGGGGCAGCGAGGGUAGCAAUACCUGUCGGCGACCGGCGCAAGGGUGCGUAACGCGUGAGCAACAUGCCCGUAUCAGGGGGAUAAUCCAGGGAAACUUGGUCUAAUACCGCAUAAUGAUUUUUCAAGGCAUCUUGAAGGAUUUAAAAUUUCGAUGGAUACGGAUUGGCUCGCGUGACAUUAGCUGGAUGGUAGGGUAACGGCCUACCAUGGCUACGAUGUCUAGGGGUUCUGAGAGGAAGGUCCCCCACACUGGAACUGAGACACGGUCCAGACUCCUACGGGAGGCAGCAGUGAGGAAUAUUGGACAAUGGAUGGAAAUCUGAUCCAGCCAUGCCGCGUGCAGGAAGACGGCCCUAUGGGUUGUAAACUGCUUUUGUAUGGGAGCAAUAAGGUCUACGUGUAGGCCGAUGAGAGUACCAUACGAAUAAGGACCGGCUAACUCCGUG
rnacentral:rRNA from 1 species